rnacentral:rRNA from 1 species
GACAGAGGUGCCGAGCGUUAGGCGGAAUCACUGGGCUUAAAGCGUGUGUAGGCGGACUUGUAAGUACCUUGUGAAAUCCCACGGCUUAACCGUGGAACUGCUCGGUAUACUGCGAGUCUUGAGCCACUUAGGGGCUACCGGAACAAAUGGUGGAGCGGUGAAAUGCGUAGAUAUCAUUUGGAACGCCAAUGGUGAAAACAGGUAGCUGGGAGUGUGCUGACGCUGAGACACGAAAGCCAGGGGAGCAAACGGG